CCAACAGAUAAAGUACAUU
rnacentral:miRNA from 1 species